CAUAGGAAUGAACGAGUUCCCGCCUACAACGCUGUAUCCAGUUCUUAUUAUACAUCCAUGAUUCAGAGAUGCACAAAGACAGUCGCACAAUGAUGAUGUCACAGACAGACGCGUGGUACGAUCAGAAUCGCGAUAACAGGGAAGAGUGGCGCGGCCAGAGACUCGGAUAGAAAACAGAUGUGCGUGAGAGUUCUUCGCUGUGCGGGGUCAGACACGAGAGUGGGGUGGCGAAGUCAUCAGAUAUGUGUUCAACAAAACCACAUUCAGCCCUGUUCCUGAAGUGCUGAUUCUGUGACUGUAGCUUUAAAUGAACUAGCUGCUGCUGGCCACGCCCCGUUGGAGCUGCUGCUGGCCACGCCCCUUUGGAGCUGCUGCUGGCCACACCCCUUUGGAGCAUCAUGAUCUCUCUCUGAAGAGAGUUUUCUACCGGGAGAAACUCAGCUAAACGCUGCCAUGAUUAAACGCCAUAUUAUGUUGAAA